AGAGUUUGAUCCUGGCUCAGGACGAACGCUGGCGGUGUGCUUCACACAUGCAAGUCGAGCGAAUGAAGUAGGUAGCUUGCUACUUAUGGAUUUAGCAGCGGACGGGUGAGUAAUAUAUAGGAAUCUGCCCUAGAGCGGGGAACAACAGACCGAAAGGUUUGCUAAUGCCCCAUAGGUACGCAGUCUUCGGAUUGUUUAUUAAAGGAGUAAUCCACUCUAGGAUGAGCCUGUAUCCGAUUAGCUAGUUGGCGGGGUAAAGGCCCACCAAGGCUACGAUCGGUAGUUGGUCUGAGAGGAUGAUCAGCCACAAUGGGACUGAGACACGGCCCAUACUCCUACGGGAGGCAGCAGUGGGGAAUUUUACACAAUGGGGGAAACCCUGAUGUAGCGACACCGCGUGAACGAAGAAGCCUUUUGGGGUGUAAAGUUCUGUCGGCUGGAACGAAAAAAAUGACGGUACCAGCAAAGGAAGCAUCGGCUAACUACGUGCCAGCAGCCGCGGUAAGACGUAGGAUGCAAGCGUUGUCCGGAUUUAUUGGGCGUAAAGAGUUCGUAGGCGGUUAUUUAAGUCUGGUGUUAAAUACUGUGGCCCAACCACAGAACUGCAUUGGAUACUGGAUGACUUGAGUGCGGUAGAGGCGAGUGGAAUUCCCAGUGUAGCGGUGAAAUGCGUAGA
rnacentral:rRNA from 1 species